AUGAACGCUAGCUACAGGCUUAACACAUGCAAGUCGAGGGGCAGCAUGUGGUUGCUUGCAACCAAUGAUGGCGACCGGCGCACGGGUGAGUAACGCGUAUCCAACCUUCCCCUUAGUAGAGGAUAGCCCGGCGAAAGUCGGAUUAAUACUCUAUGUUCUUCAAUGCGGACAUCUAAGUUGAAGCAAAGAUUUAUCGCUAAGGGAUGGGGAUGCGUCUGAUUAGGUUGCAGGCGGGGUAACGGCCCACCUGGCCUACGAUCAGUAGGGGUUCUGAGAGGAAGGUCCCCCACACUGGUACUGAGACACGGACCAGACUCCUACGGGAGGCAGCAGUGAGGAAUAUUGGUCAAUGGGCGCGAGCCUGAACCAGCCAAGUAGCGUGCAAGGACGACUGCCCUAUGGGUUGUAAACUGCUUUUAUCAGGGAAUAAAGUGAGGCACGCGUGCCUUUUUGUAUGUACCUGAUGAAUAAGGACCGGCUAAUUCCGUGCCAGCCGCCGC
rnacentral:rRNA from 1 species